UACGGAGGGUGCAAGCGUUAUCCGGAAUCACUGGGCUUAAAGGGUACGUAGGCUGUCGUUUUAGUCUGAGGUGAAAGGCCACGGCUUAACUGUGGGAGCGCCUUGGAUACUGGACGACUUGGAUCAGGAUGAGGUAGGCGGAAUGCGUCAUGUAGCGGUGAAAUGCUUAGAUAUGACGUGGAACACCAAUUGCGAAGGCAGCUUACUGGACCUAGAUCGACGCUGAGGUACGAAAGCGUGGGUAGCGAACAGG
rnacentral:rRNA from 1 species